AUACGGAGGGGGCUAGCGUUGUUCGGAAUUACUGGGCGUAAAGCGCACGUAGGCGGAUUAAAAAGUUAGAGGUGAAAUCCCAGGGCUUAACCCUGGAACUGCCUUUAAAACUAGUAGUCUAGAGUUCGAGAGAGGUGAGUGGAACUCCAAGUGUAGAGGUGAAAUUCGUAGAUAUUUGGAGGAAAACCAGUGGCGAAGGCGGCUCACUGGCUCGAUACUGACGCUGAGGUGCGAAAGCGUGGGGAGCAAACAGGAUUAGAUACCCCAGUAGUCC
rnacentral:rRNA from 1 species